CUACGGGAGGCAGCAGUGGGGAAUAUUGCACAAUGGGCGAAAGCCUGAUGCAGCAACGCCGCGUGAGCGAUGAAGGCCUUCGGGUCGUAAAGCUCUGUCCUCAAGGAAGAUAAUGACGGUACUUGAGGAGGAAGCCCCGGCUAACUACGUGCCAGCGGCCGCGGUAAUACGUAGGGGGCUAGCGUUAUCCGGAAUUACUGGGCGUAAAGGGUGCGUAGGCGGUCUUUCAAGCCAGAAGUGAAAGGCUACGGCUCAACCGUAGUAAGCUUUUGGAACUGUAGGACUUGAGUGCAGGAGAGGAGAGUGGAAUUCCUAGUGUAGCGGUGAAAUGCGUAGAGAUUAGGAAGAACACCAGUGGCGAAGGCGGCUUUCUGGACUGUAACUGACGCUGAGGCAUGAAAGCGUGGGGAGCAAACAGGAUUAGAUACCCUGGUAGUCC
rnacentral:rRNA from 1 species